GACUUUUGAAGCAAAAUUUUGGUGGGGUUGAACACUUUAUAAGAGGGGUUAGAGAGAUUCUAAGGGGGGGGGGGGUUAACCCAUCCUAACCCCCCCCCCAGUAAAUCCGCCCAUGAUUUAAUCCAAAAAUUUUCAUAAUGAAACCUGGUGAGUGGCGACUCAAGUGGUAGGAAAAAGCAUGAGUGUAUGUUGACAGAUGUUUUUAUAUAAUAAAUAGCAAUUAGCUAUGUUUAGCAAGUUAUUAGUGCAUUUAUUUCAAUUGGCUAACUUUUUUGUUUUUUCCACCAUUUUUAAACAAACCAUAUGUUAUAAAUGAUAUAACUAGGUAUAUCUAAUUGAACCAAUCUGUCAUGUACACUAAUGCAAAUAAGACUAAGUACAUAAAUAACAACCUCGUACCCAGGGGAGAAAAGACUCUGGUAGAUGCUGGUCACAUGAUCUGCUAAAAUCUAGCAGAUUUUUAAUUAGCAAUCCAAGAUGAGGUCAAUAAAUAUUUGAUAUUUGGAUGAUUUUUAUAUGUUAAUUUAUAAUUUGCAUUUUGUAUAUGAUUGUCAUAAAGAAUUCAAGAUAGUUAAUUAGAAAUCUGCUAGAUUCUAGCAGAUCAUGUGACCAGCAUCUACCAGGGUCUUUUCUCCCCAAGAGGAAGGACUCUGGGUACGAGGUCGCAUAAAUAACUGUAAAAAUGUACUUUAGUAAAUGAAUAAUUUAUCCAUACACUUGAUCUACUUUGUGAAUAUUUUUUCCAAUUAAAAUUGAUGCAACAAUAAAACAAGAAGAUGUCUA